AACGGUAACAGGAUGUGCUUGCACAUCGCUGACGAGUGGCGGACGGGUGAGUAAUGCUUGGGAACUUGCCUUUGCGAGGGGGAUAACAGUUGGAAACGACUGCUAAUACCGCAUAAUGUCUUCGGACCAAACGGGGCUUCGGCUCCGGCGCAAAGAGAGGCCCAAGUGAGAUUAGCUAGUUGGUAAGGUAACGGCUUACCAAGGCGACGAUCUCUAGCUGUUCUGAGAGGAAGAUCAGCCACACUGGGACUGAGACACGGCCCAGACUCCUACGGGAGGCAGCAGUGGGGAAUAUUGCACAAUGGGGGAAACCCUGAUGCAGCCAUGCCGCGUGUGUGAAGAAGGCCUUCGGGUUGUAAAGCACUUUCAGUUGUGAGGAAAAGUUAGUAGUUAAUACCUGCUAGCCGUGACGUUAACAACAGAAGAAGCACCGGCUAACUCCGUGCCAGCAGCCGCGGUAAUACGGAGGGUGCGAGCGUUAAUCGGAAUUACUGGGCGUAAAGCGCACGCAGGCGGUUUGUUAAGCUAGAUGUGAAAGCCCCGGGCUCAACCUGGGAUGGUCAUUUAGAACUGGCAGACUAGAGUCUUGGAGAGGGGAGUGGAAUUCCAGGUGUAGCGGUGAAAUGCGUAGAUAUCUGGAGGAACAUCAGUGGCGAAGGCGACUCCCUGGCCAAAGACUGACGCUCAUGUGCGAAAGUGUGGGUAGCGAACAGGAUUAGAUACCCUGGUAGUCCACACCGUAAACGCUGUCUACUAGCUGUGUGUGC
rnacentral:rRNA from 1 species